CAUUACUGAGUUUACGCUCUACAACCCUUUGUGAACAUACCUACAACUGUUGCUUCGGCGGGUAGGGUCUCCGCGACCCUCCCGGCCUCCCGCCUCCGGGCGGGUCGGCGCCCGCCGGAGGAUAACCAAACUCUGAUUUAACGACGUUUCUUCUGAGUGGUACAAGCAAAUAAUCAAAACUUUUAACAACGGAUCUCUUGGUUCUGGCAUCGAUGAAGAACGCAGCGAAAUGCGAUAAGUAAUGUGAAUUGCAGAAUUCAGUGAAUCAUCGAAUCUUUGAACGCACAUUGCGCCCGCCAGCAUUCUGGCGGGCAUGCCUGUUCGAGCGUCAUUUCAACCCUCAAGCUCUGCUUGGUGUUGGGGCCCUACAGCCGAUGUAGGCCCUCAAAGGUAGUGGCGGACCCUCCCGGAGCCUCCUUUGCGUAGUAACUUUACGUCUCGCACUGGGAUCCGGAGGGACUCUUGCCGUAAAACCCCCCAAUUUUCCAAAGGUUGACCUCGGAUCAGGUAGGAAUACCCGCUGAACUUAAGCAUAUCAAUAAGCGGAGGAA
rnacentral:rRNA from 1 species